UGGGGAAUCUUGGACAAUGGGGGAAACCCUGAUCCAGCCAUGCCGCGUGAAUGAAGAAGGCCUUAGGGUUGUAAAGUUCUUUUAGUGGGGAAGAUAAUGACGGUACCCACAGAAAAAGCCCCGGCUAACUCCGUGCCAGCAGCCGCGGUAAUACGGAGGGGGCUAGCGUUGUUCGGAAUUACUGGGCGUAAAGCGCACGUAGGCGGCUUGGAAAGUUGGAGGUGAAAGCCCAGAGCUUAACUCUGGAACUGCCUUCAAAACUCCCAAGCUAGAGUUCGGAAGAGGAGAGUGGAAUUCCCAGUGUAGAGGUGAAAUUCGUAGAUAUUGGGAAGAACACCAGUGGCGAAGGCGGCUCUCUGGUCCGAUACUGACGCUGAGGUGCGAAAGCGUGGGGAGCAAACAGG
rnacentral:rRNA from 1 species